ACGUGCAAUUUCGAAUACGACACGUGCGGAUGGCAGUUGCACAACUGGGAACGUGUGACGCCACAAAGCGUAAGCCUGCCUAGUGCUGAUCACAGCACUAGGUCACCCUCAGGAAACUUCGCCCUGCUAAAGGCUCCCGGUGGCCGCAUGGUUAGCCCCCUGAAUUGGUACGACGUCACUAAGCACAAGUGUCUCCGAUUCUGGUUCUUUAUCUCGGGCACAUCGAGGGAAACACUGAACGUCACCAGUGUGGUGGACGAAGAUCAGGAGGAGUCUCUUUGGUACGGCACCACAUCUGAUGCUUUGAAGCAGCAGUGGUUCUCAGCCUCAGUUAACCUGCCUGCU